GCCGGGAUAGCUCAGUUGGUAGAGCAGAGGACUGAAAAUCCUCGUGUCCGCGGUUCAAGUCCGCGUCCUGGCA
rnacentral:tRNA from 2 species